rnacentral:rRNA from 1 species
AGACCGAUAGCGAACAAGUACCGUGAGGGAAAGAUGAAAAGCACUUUGGAAAGAGAGUUAAACAGUACGUGAAAUUGUUAAAAGGGAAACGAUUGAAGUCAGUCGUGCUCUCUGGGACUCAGCCGGUUCUUCCGGUGUACUUCCCAGUGAGCGGGUCAACAUCAGUUUAGAUCGCUGGAUAAAGGUAUUAGGAAGGUAGCUCCCUCGGGAGUGUUAUAGCCUAGUAUCGCAUACAGUGGUUUAGACUGAGGAACGCAGCUCGCCUUUAUGGCCGGGGUUCGCCCACGUCCGAGCUUAGGAUGUUGACAUAAUGGCUUUAAACGACCCGUCUUGAAACACGGACCAAG